UACGAAGGGGCUAGCGUUGCUCGGAAUCACUGGGCGUAAAGGGUGCGUAGGCGGGUUUUUAAGUCAGGGUGAAAUCCUGGAGCUCAACUCCAGAACUGCCUUUGAUACUGAAGAUCUUGAGUCCGGGAGAGGUGAGUGGAACUGCGAGUGUAGAGGUGAAAUUCGUAGAUAUUCGCAAGAACACCAGUGGCGAAGGCGGCUCACUGGCCCGGUACUGACGCUGAGGCACGAAAGCGUGGGGAGCAAACAGGG
rnacentral:rRNA from 1 species